rnacentral:rRNA from 1 species
AACGCACCUUGCGCCCUUUGGCCAUUCCGAAGGGCAUGCCUGUUUGAGUAUCAUGAACACCUCAACUCCUCGUGGCUUGCAUGAUGAGCUUGGACUUUGGAGGUUUGCCGGCCUUGCAGCUGGCUCCUCUCAAAUGAAUUAGCUUCCCAGUGUUUGGUGGGGCAUCACAGGUGUGAUAAUUAUCUGCGCUUGUGGUUCCUGCCGGGAUGACCUUUGGUUAGAACGGGGGUCAGCUGGAGCUCACAGAAUGUGCCCUCUCCAGUGGAGGACAGCACUUUGAAUGUUUGAUCUCAAAUCAGGUAGGACUACCCGCUGAACUUA